UACGUAGGCAGCGAGCGUUGUUCGGAGUUACUGGGCGUAAAGCGUGCGUAGGCGGUCUUGUAAGUCUGGUGUGAAAUCUCCUGGCUUAACUGGGAGGGUGCGCCGGAAACUGGAGUGCUUGAGCGUGGGAGAGGAAAGCGGAAUUCCUGGUGUAGCGGUGAAAUGCGUAGAUAUCAGGAGGAACACCUGUGGUGUAGACGGCUUUCUGGACCAUUGCUGACGCUGAGACACGAAAGCGUGGGUAGCAAACAGG
rnacentral:rRNA from 1 species